GGGUUUGUCAUCAGCAGAAUCCCUGUGCACAGGGCCCGCCUGUUGACCGGAGCGGCCAGCCCGCUGGGACCCGACGUGACUGAUGACGGAGUCAGAUGGCAUCUACUGCCGAGACUCUAUUUCCUGAGGCCGACCUGCUGUUCUCCCCCCGUCGGAGGUCGGCUAGAGCUUCUCGCCCAUCUUCGCUCUUGCUGGCGCUUCUUUUGGUGACGCCGCUGUUCUUUCAUCGGUUGGUUUUCACCUUUCAUGACCAGGGCACAGGCGCUGACAGGGAGCGGAGUGGCGUCACCCCUCAGCCGCGCGCUUAGCACUUGACACAGAAGCUGACAGUCAAGUUCCAACACAG